rnacentral:rRNA from 1 species
CAAUGGGCGAAAGCCUGAUGCAGCGACGCCGCGUGGGGGAUGACGGCCUUCGGGUUGUAAACCUCUUUCAGUAGGGACGAAGCGCAAGUGACGGUACCUAUAGAAGAAGGACCGGCCAACUACGUGCCAGCAGCCGCGGUAAUACGUAGGGUCCGAGCGUUGUCCGGAAUUACUGGGCGUAAAGCGUCUGUAGGCGGUUUAAAUAGUGAGAUGUUAAAUGUCGAAGCUCAACUUCGUCACCGCAUCUCAAACGUUUAGACUAGAGCAUAUGAGAGGCUGAUGGAACUUGUGGUGUAGCGGUGAAAUGCGUUGAUACCACAAGGAACACCAAAGGCGAAGGCAUUCAGCUGGAAUAUUGCUGACGCUGAGAGACGAAAGCGUGGGGAGCAAAAAGGAUUAGAUACCCGGGUAGUCCAAGCCG